rnacentral:tRNA from 1 species
GCCUUCGUGGUGUAGUGGUCAGCGCGCUCAACGCGCAACCGAGAGGUCCGUGGUUCGAUUCCCGGCGAAGGCG